rnacentral:lncRNA from 1 species
AAAUGUACAGUACUCAAUUAUUAGUUAUAUUUGCCAUGUACAAUAGAUCUCAAACAAAAAUAUCAAACUUCCUCCUGAGGUAUUGUAUCCUUUCAUUAUCACCUCCCUGUACCCUCCACCCUCAUGUGAGCAUUUCUGACAUUAGAAUAAUUCCUCAAAAAUAACCCUUUAGGACACAGGGAGGGGAACAACACACACUGGGGCCUGUGGGGUAGGUUGGAGGGAGGGAGAGCAUCAGGAUAAAUAGUUAAUGCAUGCAGGGCUUAAUACCUAGGUGAUGGGCUGAUAGGUGCAGCAAACCACCAUGGCACAUGUUUACCUAUGCAACAAACCUGCACAUCCUGCACAUGUACCCCAGAACUUAAUAAAAUAAAAUAAAAUAAAAUAAAAACAGGAUGGGUGCAGUGACUCAUGCCUGUAAUCCCAGCACUUUGGGAGGCCGAGGUGGGUGGAUCACCUGAGGUUGGGAGUUCGAGACUAGCCUGACCAACAUGGAGAAACCCCAUCUCUACUAAAAAUACAAAAUUAGCCGGGCAUGGUGGCGCAUGCCUGUAAUCCCAGCUACUCAGGAGGCUGAGGGAGAAUUACUUGAAGCUGGGAGGCGGAGGUUGCAGUGAGCUGAGAUCGAGCCAUUGCAUUCCAGCCUGGGCAACAAGAGCAAAACUCUAUCUCAAAAAAAAAAAAACAACAACAAAAAACAACCCUUUAAGAGCUGUUAAAAGAAAAUCCAUAGCCAAAUUAGGCCAGGCGCAAUGGCUCACGCCUGUAAUCCCAGCACUUUGGGAGUUGUGGUGAGCUGAGAUUGCACCAUUGCACUCCAGCCUGGGCGACAAGAGCAAAUUUCUGUCUCAAAAAAAAAAAUCCAUAGUCAAAUUAAAUUUAAGAGUUCAAUUUAGCAAAGUACGAUUGGUAAAUUGGGCAGCAUUCUGAGCCAGAGUAGGCUCAGAGAUUUAUGGGCAGCAUAAGGAAAGUGAUGUACAGAAAAUGGAAAUGAGGGACAGAAACAGCCAGAUUGGUUACAGCUCAGUGUUUGCCUUAUUUGAAGAGGGUUUGAACAGUUGGCCCCUUUUGAUUGGCCAAAACUUGGUGUUUGGCACAAGGGUAGAUUACAGGCUGUUUACACCUCCAUUUAGGUGACAGUUCACUAUGUACAGAGAAACCUUUACGUCAAACUCAAAAUAUGUAAGGAGGCUAAAUUUGAUUUAACAGAGCUGUAGCAGUAUCUGUGAGGGGCUGUCUUUUUAAAAUAGAAGUUAAAUUGGCUGGGCACAGUGGCUCACACCUGUAA